CCGUAAGCCAUUUUCCCUACCCCUCCAUUGAUCUUAACAUCUCCUCCUCCCUCCUCUUUCUCGAUUCCGGAGUUUCCGCCUCUUCCUCCUAAUGAGGUGAUGUCAAUACAUAGACGCCUAAUGGCAAACUUAAACGUUUCCGCCGCAAUGAAAUGGCUCCAUUGCGUUGUUCGCCAAUUUGCAUAGUGCAUACCGUUGUUUCCCCCGUCGUACGAGAUAAUUGCUAUUGCAUAAAUGGAGAAAGGAUGUGAGUGUGAUAAUGGUACUAUCAGUUUUGUCACCACCAUGCGAGAUCGCUCAAAUAUAUGGCAAUCUAAGGCUCCAAUGUUAGUCGCAGAGGUGAGAAUCUAGGGUCAACCCCUAUUUCUAUUGCAUAAAAAGUGCGGAAAAAAUUGAGUGGUAAUAAUCAGAAAAGCGAUUAUCAGAAGUAUUGAGGCCGCGUGCUCUGGGCAAAAAUUGGAUAUGAUCGCUAUCAUUCCGCUCACCUCGUUGUUCGGUAAAAUGAUAAAAUAACACGCAGCGUCUAGCAGGUCCAGGGGAAUUGGCAAACGGAGGUUUCGCCUAUCGCUAAAGCAAUCCGGCCUCAUAUUACUCCAGCUCUUGAUUAACAAGACCAUCAAUAUCGACUCGCCGAUAGUACGAGACGUGCUUCAAUUCUUCCCAGAAAAGGGCCAUACAGUCGUAUGAGAGAAGGAAGAGCUGAGCAGGGAUGAACUUGUCUGUGACGAAAAAUCAAUCCGAAUUAAUACGAAGUUGCAUGUACAGAGGAACUUGAUAGGGAAACUACUACUCAAUUCAAAGGAGAGGAUGUGGAAAGGGCGGACGGCAACAAAAUUGUUAAAAUAGGAAAAAAAUAGGCAGAAAGAAUCACACGGAAUCUCACCAUCUCUGAAAUUUGUUGACGCGAUAUGGCCCUGGCUGCGCACCACCCGCGCUCCUUUGAAGAGAUCUUCAUCAGCGAUCCUGAUUAAUCCUUCCGGUCCGAUAUCCUCUGCGAAAAAUGUUAUUUGGCCGCGAGGCACGUUCGGGUCACCGGUCAAUUUUAUGGCUUCUAGCCUCCCUCGUGGUGUUUGGGACGAAGAGCCUGCCAGGGAGGAAUAUAUGGAGCCUGACGAAUCGCCCUCAGCGCCUUGCUGUUUCGUGCCCAGUGAAUGCUCAAAUGGAUCAUCCCGCUGCAACACAAGUAGGAAUUCAGACCCAUGGCCAGAGUAAUCGCCCACCCAAAUACCUUGGUAAGGCUUUUCUGGCGUCGGGGUAUAGAGCUCAGGCUGCAAUGAUGCAAAAGUGGAUACACCAUGUCGAGUAUUGUUUAUAUCAAAAACGGCACCGACAUUCCCAAGCUGCGCCCAUCGCCUAACUCGGAAAGCUGACGUGCAAAUAUUCUCAUAACUGUGUGGGACAUUCGCUGUCGACUUGAAUAACAAAUCCUGCUUAUAGGAGACGUCGACGCGUUCGUCGGACGGUAUUAUUCGAGGCGGCCACACAAAUUUUCCAGGGUCCUCCUUGUCCUCAUGGGGCAUUUUGGCACACAAAAUAAAAUUGUUAAAGACGCGCUGCGCUUCGAGCGCCAUGGGCAUUCGAAUCUCCCCAUGCCACCAAUUGAUGGAGCGUUUAAAUGGCGUGCGGGUAAAUUUGAACAGUUGCACGACAGGAUCGUCCAUCCACAGAGAGACUUGUGGUUUGAAUGAGUGGAUAAGAACCUCAGGGUCAUAGCUCCAAGUUUCGAAUUGCCGAAAAGUAUGUUUUGCAACGACCCGAUAGCCUUCGAUCAUACACUUGCGGGGGUUGUAUCUCGUCACUAUAAGCUUUCCGGUGUCGAUCAGAUCGGAGAACCAGAUCUUGUUGCGCGCCACGAACCACAUCGGAAAUUGGGAUAUGUAUAAUUCUUUCCAGGUAUUAAAUGGCGCAGGGUCACUGAGUGGUUUCGGCAAAUUGGAGUUGACGAAGUUCAUCCAGAGGAAGUCGCUCUGGGUGUGUUUGAACAGGUGGCGGCAGGUGGCAGACAUCGCCGCCAGACUAGGUGACGGAAGAAAAGAUAGGAUUAUGUAGAGUAUCUCUGAGGGGAGAAGGACUAAGGGGGAGCUGGCCUUGCGGGCAGCGCCUUUUUCGCUGCUGUCCAGCGCUGGCAUUUGAGGAUUAUCAGAGAGCGCGCGAAGAGCUGGAUUUCGCUCGGGCUCCUCAACACCGGGUUGAACAAGACUAGUCAUCCUUUCAUCGUAGAACAGAUUGCUGCCUGGAGUAAGAGAGGUAGGGAGCAUUAUGCCUCGCAUUGUCGUAAUUAUCUCAACAGUGGGGUUCGCCAGACAAACAAAACAACGGAGAGAUGCGUUCUUGGCGGGGUGUUGCAGAUGACACCACUGGGAGGAGCGAACCAACAUGUUUACUCUCAUAGCGCAAUCUUAAUUCCCCAUCUCUAAUACUACUCACUUGCAAUACACUAUAUAUAUGGCUAAAUAAAUAACCGCAUUGAUUAUUUCUCACAAAAAGUCUAGCAAAUAUACCGUCAA
rnacentral:sRNA from 1 species